CCUACGGGAGGCAGCAGUGAGGAAUAUUGGUCAAUGGUCGGGAGACUGAACCAGCCAAGCCGCGUGAGGGAUGAAGGUACAGAGUAUCGUAAACCUCUUUUGUCAGGGAACAAAGGCGGGGACGUGUCCCCGGAUGAGUGUACCUGAAGAAAAAGCAUCGGCUAACUCCGUGCCAGCAGCCGCGGUAAUACGGAGGAUGCGAGCGUUAUCCGGAUUUAUUGGGUUUAAAGGGUGCGCAGGCGGUCUGUUAAGUCAGCGGGCAAAGCCCGGGGCUCAACCCCGGCCCGCCGUUGAAACUGGCAGUCUCGAGUGGGAGAGAAGUAUGCGGAAUGCGCGGUGUAGCGGUGAAAUGCAUAGAUAGCGCGCAGAACUCCGAUUGCGAAGGCAGCAUGCCGGCUCCACACUGACGCUGAGGCACGAAAGCGUGGGUAUCGAACAGGAUUAGAUACCCUUGUAGUC
rnacentral:rRNA from 1 species